rnacentral:rRNA from 1 species
GCGCGAAAACUUUACAAUGCUGGCAACAGCGAUAAGGGAACCUCGAGUGCCAGGUUACAAAUCUGGCUGUCGAGAUGCCUAAAAAGCAUUUCAUAGCAAGGGCCGGGCAAGACCGGUGCCAGCCGCCGCGGUAACACCGGCGGCUCGAGUGGUAACCGUUAUUAUUGGGUCUAAAGGGUCUGUAGCCGGCCGGAUAAGUCUCUUGAGAAAUCUGGCAGCUUAACUGUCAGGCUUUCAGGAGAUACUGUCGGGCUCGAGGCCGGGAGAGGUGAGAGGUACUUCAGGGGUAGGGGUGAAAUCUUGUAAUCCUUGAAGGACCACCAGUGGCGAAGGCGUCUCACCAGAACGGACCUGACGGCAAGGGACGAAAGCUAGGGGCACGAACCG